UACGUAGGGUGCGAGCGUUGUCCGGAAUUAUUGGGCGUAAAGAGCUUGUAGGCGGUUUGUCGCGUCUGCUGUGAAAAAUCCGAGGCUCAACCUCGGACUUGCAGUGGGUACGGGCAGACUAGAGGUAUGCAGGGGGAGAACGGAAUUCCUGGUGUAGCGGUGAAAUGCGGCAGAUAUCAGGAGGAACACCGGUGGCGAAGGCG
rnacentral:rRNA from 1 species